AUAGGUUAGGUAAAUGUUCCAUGAUAAUGGGUUAGGUAAAUGUUUCAUGAUAAGAAUUUCAUGUCUUUUGUAUUAAAGAAUUAAAUGGAUGAAAUAUGAAGUUUUAUUAAAAGAAAAAUGGGUGAAAAGAACAAAGUUUUGUCCAUCUUUGUUCAUCAUAGCUGAAAGUUAGAGAAGAGAAAGGAGAGGAGAAAGCUCUUGAGUAUUUGGUCAUUAGGAGGAGGAAAAUUGAAGGCGGUUCAUGUGAGGAUCUCGUCAGCAUAUCGUCGCAAACAGGUAAUCCCCAACCAUAGUGGGCUUGGAGCUGUGAGGGAAUUCGGAGUGGCCACCCAUUCUGAAAGUUUGAUUUUCUUCUGGUGAACUGGACAUCCUUUUAAUUACGUUUGAGGUUUUGGGCUUUUAAAUGUAAUAAGGCCGCUUAUUUAUUUUUGAUGGUUUUUAAUAUGUAUUACUAAGAUAAGUAAUACUUAUUUUAACUGUUGAAAUUGGAUAGCUUUAGGGAGCGUUUUCAAAAACAACAGUUGAUUUCAAAAUAACACGACAACAAGCAAAGCUUCCGCAAAGAAA